UACGAAGGGGGCUAGCGUUGCUCGGAAUCACUGGGCGUAAAGCGCACGUAGGCGGAUCUUUAAGUCAGGGGUGAAAUCCCGGGGCUCAACCUCGGAACUGCCUUUGAUACUGCAAGUCUUGAGUCCGGAAGAGGUGAGUGGAAUUCCUAGUGUAGAGGUGAAAUUCGUAGAUAUUAGGAAGAACACCAGUGGCGAAGGCGGCUCACUGGUCCGGUACUGACGCUGAGGUGCGAAAGCGUGGGGAGCAACAGG
rnacentral:rRNA from 1 species